rnacentral:rRNA from 1 species
AACGAACGCUGGCGGCAUGCCUAACACAUGCAAGUCGAACGAGAUCUUCGGGUCUAGUGGCGCACGGGUGCGUAACGCGUGGGAAUCUGCCCUUUGGUUCGGAAUAACAGUUGGAAACGACUGCUAAUACCGGAUGAUGACGAAAGUCCAAAGAUUUGUCGCCAGAGGAUGAGCCCGCGUAGGAUUAGCUAGUUGGUGUGGUAAAGGCGCACCAAGGCGACGAUCCUUAGCCGGUCUGAGAGGAUGAUCAGCCACACUGGGACUGAGACACGGCCCAGACACCUACGGGAGGCAGCAGUGGGGAAUAUUGGACAAUGGGCGAAAGCCUGGUCCAGCAAUGCCGCGUGAGUGAUGAAGGCCUUAGGGUUGUAAAGCUCUUUUACCCGUGAUGAUAAUGACAGUACCGGGAGAAUAAGCUCCGGCUAACUCCGUGCCAGCAGCCGCGGUAA